AGCUUUGCACAGCAGCAGUAUUGUAGCCAAUGAGAUUUAUCUGAGGUGUGAUUAUUGAUAAUUGAAAACUUUUCCCAAUACCCUGCCAUGAUGACUUGCAAUAUAGUCAGCACUGGCAAUUUUUGACAGUCUCUACAGAGA
rnacentral:snRNA from 1 species